rnacentral:rRNA from 1 species
CCUACGGGAGGCAGCAGUGGGGAAUAUUGCACAAUGGGGGAAACCCUGAUGCAGCGACGCCGCGUGAGUGAAGAAGUAAUUCGUUAUGUAAAGCUCUAUCAGCAGGGAAGAAAAUGACGGUACCUGAGUAAGAAGCCCCGGCUAACUACGUGCCAGCAGCCGCGGUAAUACGUAGGGGGCAAGCGUUAUCCGGAUUUACUGGGUGUAAAGGGAGCGUAGACGGCAGGGCAAGUCUGGAGGGAAAGGCGGGGGCUCAACCCUCGGAGUGCACUUGAAACUGUACGGAGUGAGUGCAGGAGAGGGAAGAGGAAGUCCUAGUGUAGCGGUGAAAUGCGUAGAUAUUAGGAGGAACACCAGUGGCGAAGGCGGCCUACUGGA